ACUCCUACGGGAGGCAGCAGUUAGGAAUAUUCGGCAAUGGGCGCAAGCCUGAUCCAGCAAUACCGCGUGCAGGAAGAAGGCCUUCGGGUUGUAAACUGCUUUUGUACGGAACGAAAAGGUCUUGGUUAAUACCUGGGGCUCAUGACGGUACCGUAAGAAUAAGCACCGGCUAACUACGUGCCAGCAGCCGCGGUAAUACGUAGGGUGCGAGCGUUAAUCGGAAUUACUGGGCGUAAAGCGUGCGCAGGCGGUUAUGUAAGACAGGUGUGAAAUCCCCGAGCUCAACUUGGGAAUUGCACUUGUGACUGCAUAACUAGAGUGCGGCAGAGGGGAUGGAAUUCCGCGUGUAGCAGUGAAAUGCGUAGAUAUGCGGAGGAACACCGAUGGCGAAGGCAAUCCCCUGGGCCUGCACUGACGCUCAUGCACGAAAGCGUGGGGAGCAAAACAGGAUUAGAUACCCUGGUAGGUCAGU
rnacentral:rRNA from 1 species